rnacentral:rRNA from 1 species
UACGUAGGGGGCAAGCGUUGUCCGGAAUCAUUGGGCGUAAAGCGCGUGUAGGCGGCUUGGUAAGUCUGAUGUGAAACCUCGGGGCUCAACCCCGAGCCUGCAUUGGAUACUGCCUCGCUUGAGUCCGGGAGGGGAGAGCGGAAUUCCUAGUGUAGCGGUGAAAUGCGCAGAUAUUAGGAAGAACACCGGUGGCGAAGGCGGCUCUCUGGAACGGUACUGACGCUGAGACGCGAAAGCGUGGGGAUCAAACAGG